CUUAGUUAAUGUGGGUCUUACACUGAUAUUCACAAAACUUAACAGCCUGGAACAUACCUACCACAGACACUACAGCUCUGUCUGGUCACUGGUGACUAAGUUAAACUCCCAGUGUGAAGUCUCAUACCUAAAUGUGAGAUCUGCCCUUAGCCUUGUCUGCUUUGUGUUUGGUUUUAAAGACCUAAAACUUUUCAGUCUGGCGACUUGUCCUUCAGUUCCUCUGUGGCUUGUUUAAGUAGGGAUUAUGACUUAGUAUUCUUGGCAACUCUGUUGAAAACUUUGAUGAAGGCUAUGAGUGUAGUAAGUUUGAUCUUGGACUUGGCCUCAAUU
rnacentral:lncRNA from 1 species